rfam:Mustela putorius furo unplaced genomic scaffold scaffold00036, whole genome shotgun sequence.
UUUGCAUUAAUGAAGGCUACACAGAAAACCUUCAGGAGGGUUUGUGUGGAUCUGAUAUUUAGCAAA